rnacentral:rRNA from 1 species
AGGACGAACGCUGGCGGCGUGCUUAACACAUGCAAGUCGAACGGAAAGGCCCGCUUGCGGGUACUCGAGUGGCGAACGGGUGAGUAACACGUGGGCAACCUGCCCUCAGCUUCGGGAUAACACUUGGAAACAGGUGCUAAUACCGGAUAAUAACUUUUCAUCGCAUGGUGGAUGGUUCAAAGUUUUUCGGCUGAGGAUGGGCCCGCGGCCUAUCAGCUUGUUGGUGGGGUAAUGGCCUACCAAGGCGACGACGGGUAGCCGGCCUGAGAGGGCGACCGGCCACACUGGGACUGAGACACGGCCCAGACUCCUACGGGAGGCAGCAGUGGGGAAUAUUGCGCAAUGGGCGGAAGCCUGACGCAGCGACGCCGCGUGAGGGAUGACGGCCUUCGGGUUGUAAACCUCUUUCAGCUCUGACGAAGCGCAAGUGACGGUAGGAGCGAGAAGAAGCACCGGCCAACUACGUGCCAGCAGCCGCGGUAA